rnacentral:tRNA from 1 species
GGCCUCGUAGCUCAGAUAGCCAAAGCGUUGGCUGAAUCUAAGCCUUCCCCUUGCUGGCGUGAGUUCGAAUCCCACCGAGGCUG